rnacentral:rRNA from 1 species
AACGAACGCUGGCGGCAUGCCUAACACAUGCAAGUCGAACGAGACCUUCGGGUCUAGUGGCGCACGGGUGCGUAACGCGUGGGAACCUGCCCUUAGGUUCGGAAUAACUCCCCGAAAGGGGUGCUAAUACCGGAUAAUGUCUUCGGACCAAAGAUUUAUCGCCUUUGGAUGGGCCCGCGUUGGAUUAGCUAGUUGGUAGGGUAAAAGCCUACCAAGGCGACGAUCCAUAGCUGGUCUGAGAGGAUGAUCGGCCACACUGGGACUGAGACACGGCCCAGACUCCUACGGGAGGCAGCAGUGGGGAAUAUUGGAAAAUGGGCGAAAGCAUGAUCCAGCAAUGCCGCGUGAGUGAUGAAGGCCUUAGGGUUGUAAAGCUCUUUUACCCGGGAUGAUAAUGACAGUACCGGGAGAAUAAGCUCCGGCUAACUCCGUG